rnacentral:lncRNA from 1 species
UGUGGCCAUCACCCUUAAUAAAAGGCUAAUUCUGUUGUUGUUUGUUCAGUUCCAGCUUGUUCAGAGAUGACAUUACAGCACCUGCUGCCUGAAUCACUGCUGACAACUACAAAGGUCCAGUGGAGGCUUUUAUGUUUGAAGGAGAUCUACAGCAUUUGGACAUGA